rnacentral:rRNA from 1 species
UACGUAGGGGGCUAGCGUUGUCCGGAAUCAUUGGGCGUAAAGCGCGUGUAGGCGGUCCGGUAAGUCCGCUGUGAAAGUCGGGGGCUCAACCCUCGGAUGCCGGUGGAUACUGCAAGGCUCGAGUACGGAAGAGGCGAGUGGAAUUCCCGGUGUAGCGGUGAAAUGCGCAGAUAUCGGGAGGAACACCAAUGGCGAAGGCAGCUCGCUGGGACGUUACUGACGCUGAGACGCGAAAGCGUGGGGAGCAAACAGG